AUUUGAAUAACUCAGUGGUAGAGUGUUAGGCUGAAAACCUAAAAGUCGUUGGUUCGAAUCCAAUUUCAAAUA